UGGGGGAUAUUGCACAAUGGGGGGAACCCUGAUGCAGCGACGCCGCGUGGGUGAAGGAGUAUUUCGGUAUGUAAAGCCCUAUCGGCAGGGAAGAAUUUAGACGGUACCUGACUAAGAAGCCCCGGCUAACUACGUGCCAGCAGCCGCGGUAAUACGUAGGGGGCAAGCGUUAUCCGGAUUCACUGGGUGUAAAGGGAGCGUAGACGGCCAGGCAAGCCUGGAGUGAAAGCCCGGGGCCCAACCCCGGGACUGCUCUGGGAACUGUCCGGCUGGAGUGCGGGAGGGGCAGGCGGAAUUCCUGGUGUAGCGGUGAAAUGCGUAGAUAUCAGGAGGAACACCGGCGGCGAAGGCGGCCUGCUGGACCGCGACUGACGUUGAGGCUCGAAAGCGUGGGGAGCGAACAGG
rnacentral:rRNA from 1 species